UCAUUUAAGAUUGAACAACAUGGUGCCUUUGCCAGAAGUUAAUAGGAAACCCAAAAGGAGAUGAGCCAGACUGGAAGAAGAUAGACAAAAACACCAGAGGAGCUGCUCCCAGAUGGAGUGGACUUGCCAUACAAAACAAGGGAGUCCCAGCAGGGCAGGGAUCUGUAGUGGAUGGUGAUGCAGCACCCAGGAAACCUCAUCAGGAUGUAGCUACUCCUUCUCCCACUGCGGGCGGUACCAGCUGCUGAAGGCUCACAGCUGAGACUCUCUAAGGAAAGGGGACACAUAGCCCAGGAGCCCAGGUGAUGCCCACUCUCCAGGGACAGCCUGCACCAGUGACUAGACGCAGGAGGAAGAUGCCCACUGCCUGGCUUCUAUUUGUGAUGGCCUCUGAAGGGCUACCUCAGAUCCACUGCUGCCUUUGGGGAAACGGAGGUCCUUGUGGAGACCACAUUCCAUCUGAACUGCCUCUGCCCAAUCCUGCUUUCCUGACUUAUGGUUGUUGUUCCCAAGAAAACAUCCUCAUAAAUCAUUUCCAGGGAACCCAACUGAAGCCAUAAAUCCCUCCAGAAAAAAAUCUCCAAGGGGAGUCUCCCUGCAACUCAUGGGAUCGAAUUGGGCCCUAUGCCCAUCCCUUAAUCAAUGGCCCACAAAGAAAGUGAAUUUUCAUGCUGUCAUCUGCCGGAAUGUUGGGAAGUCCGUGACCAGCACGUUGACCUCUCCAGCGACGCCCCAAGAGCUGCAGCAUCACAGGAGUGGGAUGGACCGUGUCGGCUCUCUGGAUCUUUUGUGGCACUGAGCAGGGGAAUGCAUUGCAUGCCAUCCUGGGCACCCGCCUCCCAGAGGAACAGAGCAGCUGCUGCUGGUCAAUGUCUACCAUGAGGCUUGCAUCUGCCAGGCCCCUGUGCAUGCGAACCAAAGCAUGUACGUGUGUGCAUAUUUAAACUUCUCAAGUGGAAAGCUGAGUGGUCGCUGGGAACAAGCUACUGCCACAUGGGCCAUGGGAUAGGUGCCUUGACAGGACCAGGGCUUCGAAGAGCGGGGUCAGAGGUUGGCCAAGCCAACUUUGCCAAUUGGCGAGGUGAAAGCCAGCACACCGUCCACAUCCUGGCAGCCCAAAGUCAAGGCAUCCUUUGCAGUUCAAGCAAGAAAGCAGAGAAUCCUUCAGUCCUCAGUGUGGGACCAGCGCUCCCCAUUCCACAGCUGCGAAGGGAUGCAGUCUGCAUUGUUCAGGCUGCCCUGGAUGGAAUGGGGGCCGUGGUUUGA
ensembl:lincRNA